GGCCAGUGUGGCUUAGAGGUCUGAGUGUUUGGCCUAGGACUCCUCUGGAGAGACCUGGGUUCGAAUCCCAGCUCGGCCA